GGGGGUUAGCUCAGCUGGGAGAGCGCCUGCUUUGCACGCAGGAGGUCAGCGGUUCGAUCCCGCUAGUCUCCACCA
rnacentral:tRNA from 1 species